AGUGAACGCUGGCGGUAGGCCUAACACAUGCAAGUCGAACGGCAGCACAGUAAGAGCUUGCUCUUACGGGUGGCGAGUGGCGGACGGGUGAGGAAUACAUCGGAAUCUACUUUUUCGUGGGGGAUAACGUAGGGAAACUUACGCUAAUACCGCAUACGACCUACGGGUGAAAGCAGGGGAUCUUCGGACCUUGCGCGAUUGAUUGAGCCGAUGUCGGAUUAGCUAGUUGGCGGGGUAAAGGCCCACCAAGGCGACGAUCCGUAGCUGGUCUGAGAGGAUGAUCAGCCACACUGGAACUGAGACACGGUCCAGACUCCUACGGGAGGCAGCAGUGGGGAAUAUUGGACAAUGGGCGCAAGCCUGAUCCAGCCAUACCGCGUGGGUGAAGAAGGCCUUCGGGUUGUAAAGCCCUUUUGUUGGGAAAGAAAAGCAGCAGGUUAAUACCCCGCUGUUCUGACGGUACCCAAAGAAUAAGCACCGGCUAACUUCAUG
rnacentral:rRNA from 1 species